rnacentral:rRNA from 1 species
AUGAACGCUGGCGGCGUGCCUAAUACAUGCAAGUCGAGCGAACAGACGAGGAGCUUGCUCCUCUGACGUUAGCGGCGGACGGGAGAGUAACACGUGGAUAACCUACCUAUAAGACUGGGAUAACUUCGGGAAACCGGAGCUAAUACCGGAUAAUAUAUUGAACCGCAUGGGUCAAUAGGUAAAGACGGGUUUGCUGUCACUUAUAGAUGGAUCCGCGCCGCAUUAGCUAGUUGGUAAGGUAACGGCUUACCAAGGCAACGAUGCGUAGCCGCCCUGAGAGGGUGAUCGGCCACACUGGCACUGAGACACGGUCCAGACUCCUACGGGGGGCAGCAGUAGGGAAUCUUCCGCAAUGGGCGAAAGCCUGACGGAGCAACGCCGCGUGAGUGAUGAAGGUCUUCGGAUCGUAAAACUCUGUUAUUAGGGAAGAACAAAUGUGUAAGUAACUAUGCACGUCUUGACGGUACCUAAUCAGAAAGCCACGGCUAACUACGUG